rnacentral:lncRNA from 1 species
AUAGAAAGUGCUGACCUGAGAAAUAUAAUCCCAGUGAGAGAGGGGAGUGGACCUUUUUUACAGGAGAAAAUACACAGGAAGAGGCAGGCUGUAUCCAAGAAUUACAAGACAUGUGGAGACCAGACAAGCUUAGCAGGGAUACAAUCGAUGUACAGCCCUCAUGCAAUGUCUUGCUCUGUCAUCCAGGCUCGUAUGCAGAGGUGUGAUCCGUGGCUCACUGCAGCCUCAACCUCCUGGGCUCAAGCACUCCUCCAGCCUUAGCCUCCUGAGUAGCUAGAACUUCGGACACGCACCACCAUGUCCAACAAUUUUUAAAUUUUUUGUAGAAACGG